rnacentral:pre_miRNA from 1 species
UGGUGAUAGUGCACGUAAGGUAUGUUGGUUGUGUAUGAUAGAGAAGAGGAGGUGACAGAAGAGAGUGAGCACAUAUGGCCUUUCUUGCACCGAGUCGAUGCUUGAAGUUAUGCGUGCUUACUUUCUAUCUGUCACUUCGCCACCAACACCACACAUCACCG